rnacentral:rRNA from 1 species
AGGCAGCAGUGGGGAAUAUUGGACAAUGGGGGCAACCCUGAUCCAGCCAUGCCGCGUGUGUGAAGAAGGCCUUUUGGUCGUAAAGCACUUUAAGCAGGGAGGAGAGGCUAAUGGUUAAUNCCCAUUAGAUUAGACGUUACCUGCAGAAUAAGCACCGGCUAACUCUGUGCCAGCAGCCGCGGUAAUACAGAGGGUGCGAGCGUUAAUCGGAAUUACCGGGCGUAAAGCGAGUGUAGGUGGCUCAUUAAGUCCACAUGUGAAAUCCCCCGGGCUUAACCUGGGAACUGCAUGUGAUACUGGUGGUGCUAGAAUAUGUGAGAGGGAAGUAGAAUUCCAGGUGUAGCGGUGAAAUGCGUAGAGAUCUGGAGGAAUACCGAUGGCGAAGGCAGCUUCCUGGCAUAAUAUUGACACUGAGAUUCGAAAGCGUGGGUAGCAAACAGGAUUAGAUACCCUGGUAGUCCACGCCGUAAACGAUGUCUACUAGCCGUUGGGGUCCNUGAGACUUUAGUGGCGCAGUUAACGCGAUAAGUAGACCGCCUGGGGAGUACGGCCGCAAGGUUAAAACUCAAAUGAAUUGACGGGGG